rnacentral:rRNA from 1 species
UACGUAGGGCGCAAGCGUUGUCCGGAAUUAUUGGGCGUAAAGAGCUCGUAGGCGGCUUGUCACGUCGGGUGUGAAAGCCCGGGGCUUAACCCCCGGGUCUGCAUUCGAUACGGGCAGGCUAGAGUGUGGUAGGGGAGAUCGGAAUUCCUGGUGUAGCGGUGAAAAUGCGCAGAUAUCAGGAGGAACACCGGUGGCGAAGGCGGAUCUCUGGGCCAUUACUGACGCUGAGGAGCGAAAGCGUGGGGAGCGAACAGG